rnacentral:rRNA from 1 species
UGGCCGAGCAUUGACGUAGAGGCACGAAAGUGUGGGAGACAAACCGAGGUGGGAUACCCUGGUAGUCCACGCCGUAAACGAUGGCAAAUAGGCACCGGGCUCACUGUAGAGGUCGGUGGGGCAGAAUAACGCAUUAAGUUGAACCGCAUGGGGAGUACGGCCGCAAGGUUGAAAUUCAAAGGAAUUGACGGGGGGCCGCGCAAGCGGGAGAGCAUGUGGUUUAAUUCGAUGCAACGCGAAGGAACCUUACCUGGUCUUGACAUGUAGUGAACUUAGCAGAAAUGUUUUGGUGCCUUCGGGAACACUAACACAGGUAAUGCAGGGCUGUCGUCAGCUCGUGUCGUGAAAUGUUGGGUUAAGUCACGCAACGAGCGCAACCCCUGUCCCUAGUUGCCAGCAAGUAAUGGUGGGAACUCUAGGGAGACUGCCGGUGACAAACCGGAGGAAGGUGGGGAUGACGGCAAGUCAUCAUGGCCCUUAUGGCCAGGGCUACACACGUGCUACAAUGGGCAGUACAGAGGGAAGCAAAAUCGCGAGAUCAAGCAAAUCCCAGAAAGCUGUCCGUAGUCCGGAUCGGAGUAUGCAACUCGACUCCGUGAAGUCGGAAUCGCUAGUAAUCGCGAAUCAGCAUGUCGCGGUGAAUACGUUCCCGGGCCUUGUACACACCGCCCGUCACACCAUGGGAGUUUGUUGCACCAGAAGCAGGUAGUCUAACCGAAAGGAGGGCGCUUGCCACGGUGUGGCCGAUGACUGGGGUGCAGUCGUAACAAGGUAGCC